UUGGAAUGCUAUUGUAAAAAUGGUGUGUCUCGUUUCGGUGCUUUCUUCACGUUACAUUACAAUUUAGUGUGAAGUUCUUCAUUUAUAUACGGAUUUGUGUUGAGAAUUUAGAUACAAACUGAACGUAGCACUUAUCAGAAGUGUAAAUAAUGUUUACAAAAUAAUGCUUGUUUUUAUGAGAAGUUCCGAAAGCUUGAUCACUCUUGAAUUAAUACCUAUCCAAAAUGGAAGGUCUGAAGCUAAAGUGCCCACUUUGUUGUGACAAGAUUUUUGAUUCCAAGGAGCUUCUCUUGGAACAUUUGACAACUAUUUUAGAAAAUGUAUCAUGCCCAAUUUGUAACAAUAAAUGGUCCUCGCUGGUGCACCUUAUAGAGCACUUGUCUAUAGAUAAUUGCCAAAAUUCUUUAUCAAUAAAACAUGAUCCACAUGAACCCAUAGACAUCGUAACACCAGAAACUACUGUUACUAACAUUAUAACUGAAAAUCCAAAUGAACAAAUUGACAAUCAGUUAUCGGUUAUCAAUACUUUGGAUGCUGUAGAAAAUGGGGAAGUAAGCAAAAUGUAUGUUGAGUUGCUCGGCAAGCAGUUGCUGAAGCCAUGUCUGCAGACUCAGGAGUUGAAACUCAUCAAACACGAUGGAGAGAGCCAUUAUGUGAUCAUAACACAACCCAAUGUGGAGCUUAAUAUGGAAAAUACAGUUGUCACCAAGCAGAACAAUGAUGGGACUAUUUCAUUAACUACUAUGAAAGAUCUGAAAAUUGAGUCAGAUACAUUAAUAGCUCCAACAGAAACAGAACAAAGCAGUGAAGACAACCAGGAGGAGCUUUACAGUUGCAACACCUGUGGAGUUUCAUUCACAUCUGUAUUGGAACAUAUACAAAACUAUCACAAUGACCAGGAGGUUGUUGUUGAGGAGCCCAUAGACGAGCCUGAGACUGACUUGUAUUAUAAGUUGCCAGCAGAAGACGAAGUUUCGGAUAAGCAGGCGGCGCGGCGUGUCAUCACUGACACUGGUGACAUUGUGGAAGCUCCUUCAGUGCCCAAAACUUCUGUACAGGAGGCAACACCAGUUACUACUAGUAUUGCGGAUAAGACAACUAGUCAAAGCAAUCGCGUUUAUGCAACGAGAUUUGUACAAAUAGACAAUUUGUGCGAUAGUGUUGUGAAAGAUAUUAAAGAGUCUGAUGAUAAAAAUGUAAAUUGCCACAAGGUAAUAGUGAAGGAAUUGAAGACUCAAAUAGGGCCAAGCGUUAAAAUGUAUCAUUGUACAGUGUGUAUGAUAUAUGUCAGCAAUUUGAAUGAAUUCAAAACGCAUCCAUGUAAAACAUUAGAAUAUUCGUGCCCGCAUUGUCCUGUUGUGUAUGGAAAUUCCAAAUCUUUACACGCGCAUAUGAAGGUACAUAAACAAAAACCAGAAGGGACUCCUGAGCAGGCAUCUUACGAGUGUGCAGUUUGUUGUACUGUGUUCCCGACAAAUAAAUCACUUAAAUUACAUAAAAGGAUGCAUGAUCCGUUGAAAGUGCGUCCAAUAGAACUACCUGUGGAAAAUCAAGAUGGUUCAGAAGUGACAAACAGCAAAUAUCUGUGUCAGAUAUGCAACAAACUAAUACCAACAGACUACAAGACGGUACAUCAGAACUCGCACAAGUCUUCCAACAUGUUCAACUGUAGCAUAUGCAAUAAGAAAUUCACGUCCAAUGAAUAUUUAGAAAUGCAUAUGAAUGUACAUAACCUGGAUAAGGUGACAGUAAGUAAGCAAGAUAAAUCAUUGCCAUACAAUUGCUUGUACUGCCACAGAAGGUUUGCCCGGCCGCAUGAAAAAGUCAAGCACGAAAGAAUACACACAGGCGAGAAGCCCCACUCGUGCGAGAUCUGCGGCAAGUCGUUCCGCGUGUCGUACUGCCUCACGCUGCACAUGCGCACGCACACGGGCGCGCGGCCGUACGCCUGCGGACACUGCGGGAAACGGUUCAAAGCUCACAGCGUGUACAACCAUCAUUUACUAACUCACUCGGACGUGCGCAACUACAAGUGUCCGUACUGUCCAAAAGCGUUCAAGACCUCGGUGCAGCUGGCUGGACACAAGAACUCGCACACGAAACCUUUCUCUUGUCAACAUUGUAAUAGGCCGUUCGCGUCGCUGUACGCGGUGCGCGUGCACACGGAGACGCACCUGCGGCACAACAACCUGAACUUCUCGUGCUCGCUGUGCGGCGCCAGCUACGCGCGCGCCUUCGCGCUCAAGGACCACGUGCGCCACGUGCACAACCAGGACGUCGACGCCGUCGACAACGUGGUGCGCACCACACUUGUACUCACACUCACGCUCACACUCAUACUAUACACAUUACACGGAGACGCACCUGCGGCACAACAACCUGAACUUCUCGUGCUCGCUGUGCGGCGCCAGCUACGCGCGCGCCUUCGCGCUCAAGGACCACGUGCGCCACGUGCACAACCAGGACGUCGACGCCGUCGACAACGUGGUGCGCACCACACUUGUACUCACACUCACGCUCACACUCAUACUAUACACAUUACACGGAGACGCACCUGCGGCACAACAACCUGAACUUCUCGUGCUCGCUGUGCGGCGCCAGCUACGCGCGCGCCUUCGCGCUCAAGGACCACGUGCGCCACGUGCACAACCAGGACGUCGACGCCGUCGACAACGUGGUGCGCACCACACUUGUACUCACACUCACGCUCACACUCAUACUAUACACAUUACACGGAGACGCACCUGCGGCACAACAACCUGAACUUCUCGUGCUCGCUGUGCGGCGCCAGCUACGCGCGCGCCUUCGCGCUCAAGGACCACGUGCGCCACGUGCACAACCAGGACGUCGACGCCGUCGACAACGUGGUGCGCACCACACUUGUACUCACACUCACGCUCACACUCAUACUAUACACAUUACACGGAGACGCACCUGCGGCACAACAACCUGAACUUCUCGUGCUCGCUGUGCGGCGCCAGCUACGCGCGCGCCUUCGCGCUCAAGGACCACGUGCGCCACGUGCACAACCAGGACGUCGACGCCGUCGACAACGUGGUGCGCACCACACUUGUACUCACACUCACGCUCACACUCAUACUAUACACAUUACACGGAGACGCACCUGCGGCACAACAACCUGAACUUCUCGUGCUCGCUGUGCGGCGCCAGCUACGCGCGCGCCUUCGCGCUCAAGGACCACGUGCGCCACGUGCACAACCAGGACGUCGACGCCGUCGACAACGUGGUAACCAAAGACGAGGCAUGGGCGCCAAAAACCACAGACAACAUUGAAUCCGUCAGCAAAGAGUUAUCAUCGGAGACAUCCGAUCUCGGACUGAGUAAUAAUUAAUUAAUAACUCCAUAAAACGUUGUGAUAACUUCAUCGAGGGAUUAAAUACCUGAAGCGUUUUGAAAUUGCUCAAGUGAUGAAUAUGUAAUUUAUACAAGGAAUUUGUUAUGUAACGGAUAUUAUAUACAAUUAAUAGUUAUGGGUCUGUAUCACUGAAAUUGAUUGAAUAGCAAUAAUUUAUUAAGUCUUGUAGUAUAUCAUACUUAAUACUAACACGAAUGGUUAUUAAAUUUUCAGUGCACUUAUUUAAUGGUAAGGUUGAAGUUAUAAAUGUUUCUCAGGUUAAAGUUUUAAAUAAGUUAAUGCCAAAUGUUAACGCAACAUUGGUGUUGGUUCCUAUUGUAAUUUAAUAUAGCCAAUUAAAAGUAGUUUCAUCGCAGCUCUGCAUUUAAAUGGCUGCCAUAGCAUUGACCAUAGACAUGAACCCCGCAUAUACAACAUAGACUAAUAAGUGAGAACGUUAUAGGUCGACAGGGAUCAUAAUAAACGUGGCCAUAAUCGGAACUAAUGCUCGCCAUCUUGCGAAAUAGCUCAAUUGACAUAAAUAAAAUGUUGCCUACAAUCUGGUGUGUUUAUGUCAAAUAUAUUAUCAUUACUUAUUUUACUUGUAUAUUACGAGUUCAAACAGAAUUAAUUAAGAUUAGUCUUUAAAAACGGAGUCAUUACAUAUUUUGUUGUAAUACACACUUUAAUGUCUGAUAAGCCACAUAAAACGUAGGUUUUUUAAUUGGUUAACUAUUUUUUUAUAAAUCAUAUCGUGGAUUAGGAACUUAGGUAAAUUACCUAUAUGUUUUUUAUUUGUUUAUCGAAUGACAUAAGGUCUUUAUAAUCUUGAUUCUAUUUUAUUGUGGUAACACUAAGCUUUCAGUAGCGCCCUCUGACAACUGUCCCCCACGUUCAUUAAAAGCCUUGUCGACCUAUGCGUGCAUGUGUGCAAAUAGAUUCAUGUUUCACGAUACCAUACGACAUUGGGUUGUAGCCACCCUAUGUCGUACGCGGCACGUCGUGAUGUGGUACCGUAUCAUACGUUAGUAGACCAUAAACACGGAGAGGUUUCUAGGGUUCUCUGCAAUGGCGUGUCUGGUAGAUUUUUUAUCCAUGUUGAUAACUACUGUUUUUAAAUAAUUCUGCCUACAGAGUAAAAAUAUUGAUUAUAAAUGAAUAUAAAAAUAUGUUGAUAUUAUUGCACAAAUACGACAAAGUUAACUUACACGUUUAUUAGAAUGGGAAAAGAUUUCUUACCUUUCCCAACGAUAGAUUAGAAUCUCGUUGAGAAAACACUAAAAAGAAAUAGAUUUAUUUUGUUUUAUGGCUGAUUUUUCAAUCCCCGGAUUAAAUCUUAAUGUAGAAUCAAAUAGACAACAAAUAGAAAAUUUGGGCUGUGUAAAUAAAAUAUUUUAAUUGAAACUCUGUUUGUAUUCGGGCAAGUUAUAAUUCUAAUCGACUGAUAACUUUUCCCUGAUGAUUCAAUAAAUCAGCCCAUUGUUUCAAUCAUUAUUAUUGUAUUUUUUUAAAUUAAUUUAGUGUUUUGUUUAAAAUAACUUUAGUGUGAUUUUACAUACCUAUUAAAUACAGAACUGUCAAGGACUAUUUGCCUGCUCUUAUUUUUAUAAAUUGCAGUAAACAUUUGUUCGGGAGAUAAUUUGACUAUAUCAGAAAAUUUACGCGAUUCUAAUAUGGGCCUCAUCUGAACGAAAAACGGCUUAGACCGUUCGAGAAUAUUGCCAUAAAUACCCAUUGGAGUAAAAAAUCCACAUCUAAUAAGACGAUCAUACAUUUUAUGUACUAGUGUACCCUGUGUUUUAUAUACAAAUGUUUAUUAAAAGUAUUGGUAGCUUUGUAGAUAGAUACAUCAGUUUUUAUUGAGUAUUUUGUAUAUUUCUGUAUCCCUAAGAAUAAUAAGGCCUUAUUGACAAUUUAAUAUGUUGUACAAUGUAGUCUGUUCGGUUUUCAAGAUGCAAUAAGUAUAUAAUAUUAUAAUGUAAAAUAUUUUGAUGUUAUGAAGUAAAUGCAGAAAAUGCGAAACGGGCACACGGAUAGUGUGUCUUGGAAACUGCGAGCAACGCCCAGUCAAUAAUAAUAAGAAUAAUAAAAUAUGUAAAUACUGCAAAUAGUUCUAGUAAAGGUCAGUGAUUGAUGACGUGAUUUUAUAAAAUAGUGAAGUAUGUAAAGAAAUUGAAUGCAAAAUAUAAGAUUGAAAGAAAUCUGUAAUUAUUCUAA